rnacentral:lncRNA from 1 species
UUUCCAAGGGUUGCGGCUUGGGCUGGGUCUAAUUCACUGUUGGUGAAGCUGCAAGGCAUGACAUCAGUGAGUUUGUUCCAUGGAUUCCGGAUGCGGGUGACGGUCGCGGAGAAAGUAUUGCGGCUGAUUUGGAUUGGUGAUACACGCACGGCAUCAAAAUGUUACUUCCUGCAACCGAUGAUCUCAUUUCAACUCUCUGUUGAGCUAUUUAUUCAGACUUUAGUGCUAAUUUCAGAGAAACAGAAUCCUCACAACAAAGAGCUAUAGUCACUCCCUUCAAUGAUUCCAUGACUCGACUCUAAUUCAUGUUUUCGUGCCGUUCGAUGAUUUCAAAACGUACUUAAGCUGUGAUUCCUUGUUUGAAUCUUCACCGGGCAUCAGAGAUGAAGACUUCAGGUAUCCUACUGAGUUUCUGAAGGUCCUUACCAUUUAAUGGCAUCCUAGAGUAUAAACUUGAACUUAUUGAAAGAGAGUGAGGUCGGCGAUGAUUUAUGCAUUUUCAUUUUUCUAUACACAAAAAUAUCUCAAAGUUUUUUAUUACCAAAUAUAUAUGUACCUCAAAGUUAUAAUAAUAAAUAAUAUUAGUAAAAUUACAUAAAAUUUUAAUAAGAUAAUUAAAUGGCAUAUAAAAAUAAAAUUGUAUUAGUUAUUUUACUUUAAAAAUUACUAAAUAUCUAGUUUUUAGUUAGAUGAAGACAAGGUCCUUCUCCUCUUUAACCAAAUGCUUCUGCUACUGCUUUUCAUGGAUUCCACCAUCACUCCCUCAUCAUGCAACUUUUCGUCCCCUGAUUCUUGCUCCACAGAAAGCGGAUGCAUAUACCCUUUAGAGCUGGAAGCUGGCUCUGCUGGACUUCGUUCAUAUUUUCCUCCCAGGUGCUCGUCUUCACUUGAACUUUCAGGUUCG